rnacentral:lncRNA from 1 species
CGUAAUCAGCUACCUAGAGUUUGUAACCUUCAAUUUAUACAAGAAAAUUGCAACGUUUGGAAGAAAAAUGAAGAAAAGGAUCUAGACUUCCCACUGACAGCAACGAAAAUAAUCUCCAAAUCCCAUGAAUUUCUUCGGGGUGGCCUAAACUACCCCGUGAAGUUCUGAUCAAACUAAAGAAAUCCAUGUUCAAUGUCCAUCCCAAGAAAGAAAAAAGCAAUCAGUGUCACGACAAGCAAUUGAGGAAGAGCAAUUUUUGUCCAACUCCAAAUAUGGACAACAACCUUUUCUUCAUUCAAUCACCAACUGUGCAGAAGGUUGUUGGCAAAAGCAGAACAACAUGCCCUAAGUAGAUGGCAUUUUGCUAGUGUUCUAUACUUUAAAAGAUUAUUCCAGAAGAGGAGGAAGAAGAAAAGACUUCUAGAUAACAUGAAUGCCAUUCACGUGGUUGUCAUGUUGGGUAAAGUUAAUUUUAAUUGCCAUCUGUCAAAAAAAUCAAGCUAAGGAAGCAGACACAGGAAGCCAAGUCUUAUAUGCAAAGUUAUUCUUUGCUGUCCAAUAAGAGAAUAAGUGCAUGUGUAGACAAAUGAACAAGGGAAAAGAAGUGACCAACUCAUGCUUGGUCCAAUUCCACAAAAAGAAAUUCCCCAAUUCAAAUUUUGAUAAAGACAAAUAAAAAGAGAGGAAGACAUAUUUCCGAGGACUUAAAUGUGGAUACCAUUUUGGUCAAAUACUAGGUCAAAAUAUUGACCAAAAGCAUUGAAAUGAAACUGACAGAUGCUACAAGACAAAAGGAAAGAAAGAAAAUUUGCCAAUCUCUAAAUAAGUAGCUAAAAUGUAUUUGCUUCUCUGCCACGUGAAGUUGGACUUGAAAGAAUUCAAGCUGUCCAAAGUUUACAAAGAAGGAAAAGCUUGCUGUCAAACUUCCCAAAUUAUUUGGGAAACUCAUUCACAUGGCAACCUUUGUAUUAACACCCAAAGAACUAGAAGACAAAUCAAAACUACAAAAGAUUUUGGGAAAAGCAAUGAUAGGAGCAUAUUUAUGCGACUUAGUUAGCUUGUUUUCUUGUAUUUUCAUAGCUAGUUUUUACUUCUUAGAGUGUUUUAAGCUAUUUUUGUGUGUUUGCAGGUCCAAAUGACAAAAUUGGUAUGAAAGUGCAAUUUGGAGCAUUUUGAAGCAGUUUUAGGCCAAGAAUGGAUAACAGAUGUAUGGAGUAAGGUGGAUGGACGUUUUUGGAGUUCAAGAGGCUAGGAAUAUGCUAAGGAGAUGAAGAAAAUAAAGUCAAGACAAAGAAGAUAAGGAAUCAGCUAAAAGGAAGGAACAUUAUCCAAAACAUUAUUCAACCUUAUCUUAUCUUAUUCUAACCUAAUCUUUUCCUACCUUAAUUCCAGUUGCAAGGGGGAUCGAUUUCACAUUCAAUCACCUAAAUACCCCUUUCUAGAAGCCCUAUUCCUGAUCCUAAGUGGUGCCGCACCCUCUUAUCCUUUAUCUUCUAGAAAUCUGUCAAAUAUUCCAUUCUAGAAGCUUUGUGCCGAAUUUCCUAGUCCUUUUUCCCUAGGAUUGUGUAAUCCUUCUCCUCCACAACUUUUGUGCCGAAACCCUAGCCUAUAAAUACAUAUUUUCUGACGGUAUUUGCACCACACACAAUAGAGAAAUCAGAGAGAAAAAUACAUAAGUGCUGUAGGUUUCUGAAGGUAUUUGGAGGCUUGUGACAUGCUACAAGGAGAAGGAGGACUUGUGUCAUGCCCUAGCACCCAAGGAUUGUGCCCAAUCUGCCAUUGGAGUGCUAGAGCGUUUAUGG